rnacentral:rRNA from 1 species
CGGUAACGAUGGAAAGCUUGCUUUCCAGGCGACGAGUGGCGGACGGGUGAGUAAUGCAUAGGAAUCUGCCCAGUAGCGGGGGACAACCUGGUGAAAACCAGGCUAAUACCGCAUACGCCCUACGGGGGAAAGCGGGGGACCUUCGGGCCUCGCACUAUUGGAUGAGCCUAUGUCUGAUUAGCUAGUUGGUAGGGUAAAAGCCUACCAAGGCGACGAUCAGUAGCUGGUCUGAGAGGAUGAUCAGCCACACUGGGACUGAGACACGGCCCAGACUCCUACGGGAGGCAGCAGUGGGGAAUAUUGGACAAUGGGCGCAAGCCUGAUCCAGCAAUGCCGCGUGUGUGAAGAAGGCCUGAGGGUUGUAAAGCACUUUCAAUUGUGAAGAAAAGUUUAAGGUUAAUAACCUUAAACCGUGACGUUAACUUUAGAAGAAGCACCGGCUAACUCCGUGCCAGCAGCCGCGGUAAUACGGAGGGUGCGAGCGUUAAUCGGAAUUACUGGGCGUAAAGCGUGCGUAGGUGGCUUGGUAAGUCGGAUGUGAAAGCCCAGGGCUCAACCUGG